rnacentral:rRNA from 1 species
UACGGAGGAUGCAAGCGUUAUCCGGAUUUAUUGGGUUUAAAGGGUGCGUAGGCGGACGCUUAAGUCAGCGGUAAAAUUGCGGGGCUCAACCUCGUCGAGCCGUUGAAACUGGGUGCCUUGAGUGGGCGAGAAGUACGCGGAAUGCGUGGUGUAGCGGUGAAAUGCAUAGAUAUCACGCAGAACUCCGAUUGCGAAGGCAGCGUACCGGCGCCCAACUGACGCUGAAGCACGAAGGCGUGGGUAUCGAACAGG